AGCGAACGCUGGCGGCAGGCUUAACACAUGCAAGUCGAACGCUUUUUCUUUCACCGGAGCUUGCUCCACCGAAAGAAAAAGAGUGGCGAACGGGUGAGUAACACGUGGGUAACCUGCCCAUCAGAAGGGGAUAACACUUGGAAACAGGUGCUAAUACCGUAUAACACUAUUUUCCGCAUGGAAGAAAGUUGAAAGGCGCUUUUGCGUCACUGAUGGAUGGACCCGCGGUGCAUUAGCUAGUUGGUGAGGCAACGGCUCACCAAGGCAACGAUGCAUAGCAGACCUGAGAGGGUGAUCGGCCACACUGGGACUGAGACACGGCCCAGACUCCUACGGGAGGUAGCAGUAGGGAAUCUUCGGCAAUGGACGAAAGUCUGACCGAGCAACGCCGCGUGAGUGAAGAAGGUUUUCGGAUCGUAAAACUCUGUUGUUAGAGAAGAACAAGGAUGAGAGUAAAACGUUCAUCCCUUGACGGUAUCUAACCAGAAAGCCACGGCUAACUACGUGCCAGCAGCCGCCGUAA
rnacentral:rRNA from 1 species